rnacentral:rRNA from 1 species
UACGAAGGGGGCUAGCGUUGUUCGGAAUUACUGGGCGUAAAGCGUGCGCAGGCGGCCAUCCAAGUCAGUGGUGAAAGCCCGGAGCUCAACUCCGGAAUUGCCAUUGAAACUGUUUGGCUCGAGUACGAGAGAGGUGAGUGGAAUUCCCAGUGUAGAGGUGAAAUUCGUAGAUAUUCGGAAGAACACCAGUGGCGAAGGCGGCUCACUGGACUGGUAUUGACGCUGAGGUACGAAAGCGUGGGGAGCAAACAGG